UGGGGAAUUUUGGACAAUGGGCGAAAGCCUGAUCCAGCAAUGCCGCGUGUGUGAAGAAGGCCUUCGGGUUGUAAAGCACUUUUGUCCGGAAAGAAAUCCUUGGCUCUAAUACAGUCGGGGGAUGACGGUACCGGAAGAAUAAGCACCGGCUAACUACGUGCCAGCAGCCGCGGUAAUACGUAGGGUGCAAGCGUUAAUCGGAAUUACUGGGCGUAAAGCGUGCGCAGGCGGUUCGCUAAGACCGAUGUGAAAUCCCCGGGCUCAACCUGGGAACUGCAUUGGUGACUGGCAGGCUAGAGUAUGGCAGAGGGGGGUAGAAUUCCACGUGUAGCAGUGAAAUGCGUAGAGAUGUGGAGGAAUACCGAUGGCGAAGGCAGCCCCCUGGGCCAAUACUGACGCUCAUGCACGAAAGCGUGGGGAGCAAACAGGAUUAGAUACCCUGGUAGUCCACGCCCUAAACGAUGUCAACUAGUUGUUGGGGAUUCAUUUCCUUAGUAACGUAGCUAACGCGUGAAGUUGACCGCCUGGGGAGUACGGUCGCAAGAUUAAAACUUAAAUGAAUUGACGGGGUCAUAGCUGUUUCCU
rnacentral:rRNA from 1 species